AGUGGGUUCAAUUUCCGGCUGCAUCCGACUUCGUUGUGAAAAAUCCUAGCCCUUCAGGAUACCUUACCCUGACUUGGGUCUCCGUCUCCUCUCAUUUCUUCCAUAUUUGUCAUGGGGAUGGGAUGCAUGGCCAGAGCUGCCCUCAGCGGUAAGUAACAACCCUCAUACUUAAAAGGAAGACAAGUUUUGGAAAUGGUGGUUCCAGUGUCUGCAUAGAUGAAGGAAGCCUACCUCCUUCCUCUACAUCCAGCAAGGCUAGCACCAGCUCCUUGCUGUUCCUAUCAUCUCACCAUGCCUUCUUCAGUACCCAUACUCGCUGAAUUGAGUUCUAGGCCUUAGGCAAGACCAAAGAGGAAAAGGAAAUCAACUUCUACCUAGUUGAUAAAGACUGGAGGAAAAGCAACUGGUAAAACUGUACUCAUAUGACCACACAUAUGAACUGUCAAUGAAGAUACCAAAGAACAAACUCUUCUUAAGGUAAAAGACAACAUAAAGCUGGCGGUGCUCUUUGGGGAGGUUUCAAAAGUCUGAGAAGGUGGAGCUGAGCUGAGGAAGUUCGUCACUGGAGGCAGGUCUUGAGGGUUAGUUAUAGCGUGGACCUGCUUCCAGUUUCAUCUCUGCUUCCCGGCCUAAGCUAUGCAUCAACAAGCUGCAACAAACUCCGGCUGCCAAGGAUGGAGUCCUCGCUACCAGGGAUGGAGCCCCCGCUUCCAAGGAUGGAGCCCCCGCUUCCGUGAAUGGAACCCCCGCUUCCGUGGAUGGAUCCCCCACUGCCGUGGAUGGAGUCCCCGCUUCCAAGGAUGGAGCCCCCGCUGCCAAACCUUCCCUCCCAAGAUCAACCGUAUCUCCUCAAACUGUAAGCCAAACUAAACCUUUCCUCCCUUGAGUUCUAUUAGAUUUUCUCUCACAGUGAGGAGAAAAGUAAUAUGGAUGGUUAGCCAGUUUCUAAUAUUGUGUCACCAUCAUUUAUGAUUUAAACAUGGACUGGUUCUUUAGCAUUGGCAGAAAGUACAAAGCUUGUAAUUUUUAGUCCCCAUCACAUAGGUACGUAGCUUAGGAAAAAUCCCACAUUCUGCUGGUGCUCUUUAACUAAGACCUGACAGGGAGAAAACGUCUUCUGAGACUUUGCAUCUCUAUGGGUGCCUUCACAGAUACAUUUCAGACAGCUUCCAUAACUGUUCUUUGAGUCUACAGCCCCAUGGUUGGUAAUAACAGAGCUACUGCGACGUUUCUAUUUAUAAAAAGUAAAUGUUCAAUUUUUCAAUUCCAAGAGACUUUCUUUGUGAGACACAAUUAACCAAGAUCUGUUAGGCGAACAUUUAGAAAGUAAAUGACUCUUCAGAAGGCUGUGGACUUCAUCUAUGUAAAAUGUAAAUUUCCAGGAAAGUCUCCAUGGCACCUUGAGAGCUUAACCGAGAGGUAUCAUCUCAAAUUGUAAUCAUUUGCUUAAAGAGGGGCUGAGAAGUUCUAUUAUUCCUUUGUGUUGAUUCGAUGAACUAAAACAACGACCUCAAUUUGCAAAUGAAUUUAGGAUGAGCUGAAAUGGGGAAAAAAGGAGUGCUGUUCUCUUAUAAGAGAAACAAGAUACAAUAAAAUCUGAAAGACAUGUUUUGUACUGGUUCAGAACUGCUGUCUAAUGUGUGCCAAAUGUCCUACUUUAUAUUAGAUAAAAAUUAGAGGAGGCCAUUGUUUUGGAUUCUAAGCUCCUGCAUGAAGCCCUGACAGAGCAUAAUAAAUAUCAAAAUAUUGUUACUUAUACUGAAGUAAGUUAUCUGACCUUCCAAAAAUGAGACAUGAUAGUGCAGUUUCUCAAACAGGCCAGUUACAGUAGGCAUGAUAAUGAAGCUCUCCCUGUUCCCAAUCUUUAAUCCCCAAAGUCACCUGAAGUAACCUAACGUUAACCAAUCAGUGCACUUUCUUUGGUUCUCUCUCUCUAUCGUCUGCCAAAGGACCUUGGAACAGCUAACCCAGUCUGUUAUUUAUGUGUUUUCUUCAGUUUCUGUUUACCAACCUUCUACUAACUUCAUUGAAGCAUUUAUUUGCUUCAUGAAACGAAGCAUUGCCUGAUUCAAGAACCACAAACCCACUCCAAAACCUUUAAGAUAAAUUUGCUGUAUUCUGCCACUUGACAGCAGUUUCAUUCAGAUUGCCUAUGCACACAUAACUUGAGUAUGCUUAUUAAAUAAUCAAACACAAUAAUUUUCUAGGCUUUAAGAGAAUAUUCUGUGCCAGAAUUUUUAUCUCUUGAAUAUGAUGGAUACCUAUAGAUAUGGAACAGAAUAAAUAAUGUUAGAAAUCAAAAGUCCAGGCAAUGUAUAUAAUAUUUGCUUGUCUAGACUUGGAAGCAACUAGAAACAUGAAUUCACAUGCAAACCAUAUCCCAGGUAAAAC
ensembl:processed_transcript 3632454L22Rik RIKEN cDNA 3632454L22 gene